GACAGAGGUGCCGAGCGUUAGGCGGAAUCACUGGGCUUAAAGCGUGUGUAGGCGGAUUUGUAAGUACCUUGUGAAAUCCCACGGCUCAACCGUGGAACUGCUGGGUAUACUGGCGAUCUUGAGCCACCUAGGGGCGAGCGGAACAAGCGGUGGAGCGGUGAAAUGCGUAGAUAUCGCUUGGAACGCCAAUGGUGAAAACAGCUCGCUGGGGGUGUGCUGACGCUGAGACACGAAAGCCAGGGGAGCGAACGGG
rnacentral:rRNA from 1 species